rnacentral:rRNA from 2 species
CUGGUGUCAGCCGCCGCGGUAAUACCAGCACCCCGAGUGGUGGGAAGUUAUUAUUGGGCCUAAAGCAUCCGUAGCCGGUCCUACAAGUCUUCCGUUAAAUCCACCUGCUUAACAGAUGGGCUGCGGAAGAUACUAUAGGGCUAGGAGGCGGGAGAGGCAAGCGGUACUCAGUGGGUAGGGGUAAAAUCCUCUGAUCCAUUGAAGACCACCAGUGGCGAAGGCGGCUUGCCAGAACGCGCUCGACGGUGAGGGAUGAAAGCUGGGGGAGCAAACCGGAUUAGAUACCCGGGUAGUCCCAGCUGUAAACGAUGCAGACUCGGUGAUGGGUUGGCCCUGUGCCAACCCAGUGCCGCAGGGAAGCCGUUAAGUCUGCCGCCUGGGGAGUACGGUCGCAAGACUGAAACUUAAAG